rnacentral:rRNA from 1 species
CCUACGGGAGGCAGCAGUGAGGAAUAUUGGUCAAUGGGCGCGAGCCUGAACCAGCCAAGUAGCGUGAAGGAUGACUGCCCUACGUGUUGUAAACUUCUUUUAUCAAGGAAUAAAGUGAGACACGUGUGCCUUUUUGUGUGUACUUUAUGAAUAAGGAUCGGCUAACUCCGUGCCAGCAGCCGCGGUAAUACGGAGGAUCCGAGCGUUAUCCGGAUUUAUUGGGUUUAAAGGGAGCGUAGAUGGGUUGUUAAGUCAGUUGUGAAAGUUUGCGGCUCAACCGUAAAAUUGCAGUUGAUACUGGCAGCCUUGAGUACGGUUGAGGUAGGCGGAAUUCGUGGUGUAGCGGUGAAAUGCUUAGAUAUCACGAAGAACUCCGAUUGCGAAGGCAGCUUACUAAACUGACACUGACAUUGAUGCUCGAAAGUGUGGGUAUCAAACAGGAUUAGAUACCCGUGUAGUC